GUGAGGAAUAUUGGUCAAUGGGCGAGAGCCUGAACCAGCCAAGUCGCGUGAAGGAUGAAGGUUUUAUGAAUUGUAAACUUCUUUUGCAGGGGAAUAAAGUACGGUACGUGUACCGUUUUGUAUGUACUCUGCGAAUAAGGAUCGGCUAACUCCGUGCCAGCAGCCGCGGUAAUACGGAGGAUCCAAGCGUUAUCCGGAUUUAUUGGGUUUAAAGGGUGCGCAGGCGGGUUGAUAAGUCAGCGGUGAAAGUUUGCAGCUUAACUGUAAAAAUGCCGUUGAAACUGUCGGACUUGAGUGUAAAUGAGGUAGGCGGAAUGCGUGGUGUAGCGGUGAAAUGCAUAGAUAUCACGCAGAACUCCGAUUGCGAAGGCAGCUUACUAAGCUACAACUGACACUGAAGCACGAAAGCGUGGGGAUCAAACAGGAUUAGAUACCCCUGUAGUCC
rnacentral:rRNA from 1 species